rnacentral:rRNA from 1 species
UAAGGAAUAUUGGACAAUGGGCGCAAGCCUGAUCCAGCCAUGCCGCGUGCAGGAAGAAGGACCUAUGGUUUGUAAACUGCUUUUGAAUGGGAGAAAACCCUUGUACGUGUACGAGGCUGAUAGUACCAUUAGAAUAAGCAUCGGCUAACUUCGUGCCAGCAGCCGCGGUAAGACGAAGGAUGCAAGCGUUAUCCGGAUUCAUUGGGUUUAAAGGGAGCGUAGGUGGACUUGUAAGUCAGUGGUGAAAUCUCCGGGCUUAACCCGGAAACUGCCAUUGAUACUGCAGGUCUAGAGUACAGUUGCUGUGGGCGGAAUAUGACAUGUAGUGGUGAAAUACUUAGAUAUGUCAUAGAACACCGAUUGCGAAGGCAGCUCACAAAACUGUAACUGACACUGAGGCUCGAAAGUGCGGGGAUCAAACAGGAUUAGAUACCCCCGUAGUCC